rnacentral:rRNA from 1 species
UACGUAGGGGGCUAGCGUUGUCCGGAAUCAUUGGGCGUAAAGCGCGUGUAGGCGGUCCGGUAAGUCCGCUGUGAAAGUCGGGGGCUCAACCCUCGGAUGCCGGUGGAUACUGUCGGGCUAGAGUGCGGGAGAGGCGAGUGGAAUUCCCGGUGUAGCGGUGAAAUGCGCAGAUAUCAGGAGGAACACCAAUUGCGAAGGCAGCUCGCUGGAACGUAACUGACGCUGAGACGCGAAAGCGUGGGGAGCAAACAGG